AUUGAACGCUGGCGGCAGGCCUAACACAUGCAAGUCGAACGAGCGGCGGACGGGUGAGGAAUGACUGGGAAUUGACCAGUCGAGGGGGAUAAAAGUUGGAAACGACUGCUAAUAUCGCCUACGAGUGGAGUGCCCAGGUGGGAUGAGCUAGUUGGUGAUGUAAUGGGUCACCAAGGCGAAGAUCCCUAGCUGGUCUGAGAGGAUGAUCAGCCGCACGGGAACUGAGACACGGUCAAGACUCCGACGGUAGGCAGCGGUGGGGAAGAUUGCACAAUGGGGGAACGCCUGAUGCAGCCAUGCCGCGUGUGUGAAGAAGGCCUUCGGGUUUUAAAGCUCUUUCAGCGAGGAGGCGUUACUCGCAGAAGAAGCACCGUCUAACUCCGUGCCAGCCGCCGCGGUAAUUC
rnacentral:rRNA from 1 species